AGUGAACGCUGGCGGUAGGCCUAACACAUGCAAGUCGAACGGCAGCACAGUAAGAGCUUGCUCUUACGGGUGGCGAGUGGCGGACGGGUGAGGAAUACAUCGGAAUCUACUUUUUCGUGGGGGAUAACGUAGGGAAACUUACGCUAAUACCGCAUACGACCUACGGGUGAAAGCAGGGGAUCUUCGGACCUUGCGCGAUUGAAUGAGCCGAUGUCGGAUUAGCUAGUUGGCGGGGUAAAGGCCCACCAAGGCGACGAUCCGUAGCUGGUCUGAGGGGAUGAUCAGCCACACUGGAACGUAGACACGGUCCAGACGCCUACGGGAGGCAGCAGUGGGGAAUAUUGGACAAUGGGCGCAAGCCUGAUCCAGCCAUACCGCGUGGGUGAAGAAGGCCUUCGGGUUGUAAAGCCCUUUUGUUGGGAAAGAAAAGCAGCAGGUUAAUACCCCGCUGUUCUGACGGUACCCAAAGAAUAAGCACCGGCUAACUUCGUG
rnacentral:rRNA from 1 species